GUGUGUGUAUCUGCUCUGUGCAGCUGUCAGGAAUUAAUGCUGUACGACAGCCGAGUGUUUCCUCUCUCUGACAUCAGUGUGUGAUGUGGUCGACUCUCAUCAGAGACAGGAGGCGGAGCUCUGUUCAUCAGUCACACACCUCAGAGACAGGAGGCGGAGCUCUGUUCAUCAGUCACACACCACAGAGACAGGAGGCGGAGCUCUGUUUAUCAGCUCUGACGUUAUUUUGAUAUAUAUGGAGAAAGUGAAAGAUGCCUCAUCUGAUUUGUUAUUGAGGCUGUGUGAUGAUUUCCUCUCAUCUUUCUAAUAAGGGGGCUGAAUGAGGGGAUACACUUCUCUCAGUCUCUCUGGGCGAGUGGACGUGAACACAUCGUGUACAGCGAGGAGGGAGAUGGAAAUCUGUCUGACUUUAAUUCUUCUCUCAUCCACACUCACACUCACAGCAGCUGACAGUGUGAGGUUGGUGAAUGGUGGAAGUCGCUGUGCUGGGAGAGUGGAGGUUCUUCAUAAUGAUCAGUGGGGAACAGUGUGUAGUUAUGGCUGGGAUAUGAGAGAAGCAGCAGUGGUGUGUAGAGAGCUGCACUGUGGGGAGCCUGUAAAUGUCCGGUAUUUAGCUCACUUUGGACAAGGAUCAGGACCAGUUUGGAUGGAAGAUGUUUGCUGUAGAGGAUCAGAGUCGACACUGAAGGACUGUGGGUCACUUGGGUGGGGAAAAAGUAACUGUGAUCAUG